AACAGCUUGUAGCUGCUACUGGGAUAAAUGCAGAAAAAUGUCAGUUUUGAUACUGUUGAACACUUCUUGGUGUGAUAUGGAAACCUGCUGAACCAACUGGAGGAGAAAUUGUCCUGUUACAUAUGGUCCUCUUCUGCUGUAGGCAGACUCAGGAUCAUGAGCACUUGGGAUUUCUGCUUCACAUUGGAAACUUCAGUGAUUCAUUUCAAGCUCACUAUUCACCCCUUCUUUUUUCGUUCAGAAAUAGAAACAACGUUGACUGAGAAGGUAGCUGCGAAGAUCUUUCUUACAGAAAGAGUUAGGAUUUAUAAGGAGAAGUACAGGACAGAAUAACAGUUAUUUCAGAUCGCCACAGCACAGUAAUGGUAUUCAGUUGGUCAUCCAAAGCUUUAGGCCAAAGGACAGCUGAGAUAACAUGUUCAGUGGUAGGAUAAGUGUAAGUUCUGUGGUUUUUUUUUCAACAUCUUGUAAUGAACAUUCUGG
ensembl:lncRNA